rnacentral:rRNA from 1 species
CAGCAGCCACGGGAAUACGAAGGGGGCUAGCGUUGUUCGGAAUUACUGGGCGUAAAGCGCACGUAGGCGGAUAUUUAAGUCAGGGGUGAAAUCCCAGAGCUCAACUCUGGAACUGCCUUUGAUACUGGGUAUCUUGAGUAUGGAAGAGGUGAGUGGAAUUCCGAGUGUAGAGGUGAAAUUCGUAGAUAUUCGGAGGAACACCAGUGGCGAAGGCGGCUCACUGGUCCAUUACUGACGCUGAGGUGCGAAAGCGUGGGGAGCAAACAGGAUUAGAUACCCGUGUAGUCCCUGUCUCUUAUAC